rnacentral:rRNA from 1 species
AGCAGCCGCGGUAAUUCCAGCUCCAAUAGCGUAUAUUAAAGUUGUUGCAGUUAAAAAGCUCGUAGUUGAAUUUCGGGGUCAGUAGGUCGGUCGUGCCACUGGUAUGAACUGGUUUUACUGAUUCCUCCCUCUUGAAGAACUGUAAUGCCAUUAAUUUGGUGUUGCAGGGAAUCAGGACUGUUACUUUGAAAAAAUUAGAGUGUUUAAAGCAGGCUUUAGCUUGAAUACAUUAGCAUGGAAUAAUGAAAUAGGACGUUUGAUCCUAUUUUGUUGGUUUCUAGGAUUGACGUAAUGAUUAAUAGGGAUAGUUGGGGGCAUUAGUAUUCAAUUGUCAGAGGUGAAAUUCUUGGAUUUAUUGAAGACUAACUACUGCGAAAGCAUUUGCCGAGGAUGUUUUCAUUAAUCAAGAACGAAAGUUAGGGGAUCGAAGACGAUCAGAUACCGUCGUAGUCUUAACCAUAAACUAUGCCGACUAGGGAUCGGAUGAUGUUAAUUUUUUAAUGACUCA